rnacentral:lncRNA from 1 species
GCGGGGCGGCCGAGCCGAGACCUUCCCACCCCGCCCCACGCCUGGUUGGGGACCUGACGCGCCGUCGCUCUCCUUCUGCCUCCGCAUGCCCAACGAUCCGGAGAAAAACACGGACCAUGACAUCAAAAGGCCUUGGCAAAGGAAUCGUGAUUAUUGUGAUACAAGAUUCUGCACCUCAAAGGGGAUCCCUGUAGUGAGUUUUGGAAAACGUACAAAGCCUGACUUACA